rnacentral:misc_RNA from 1 species
UGCCGACAGACGGCAAACAUUGUAAUGCGCUCGCUCAGUUCGUGCCGGCCAGUUAACGAGUUAACUAUACAAUAAUUGAAUAUACAUUUUAUUAUAAUAUAAUAACUCCGUCGACGACACCAACCACCCGAUAUCAACAUGACCUACUAUACGACUAGGUGCACUCCCACGGUCCGCCCGGCACCCGAUUUCGAUGCCGAAGCCGACGCAGCCGUCCUUAGAACAGCCAUGAAAGGAUUUGGUACUGACGAGCAAGCCAUCAUCGACGUGCUGGCAAGACGGUCCAAUACUCAGAGACAGGAGAUCAAAGAAGCUUUCAAGACACUCUAUGGAAAGGAUUUAAUCGACGAUCUGAAGAGCGAACUCGGUGGGAACUUCGAGAACGCUAUUGUCGCUCUGAUGACCCCGCUUCCUGAGUUUUAUGCCAAGGAGUUGAAAGACGCCAUCAGUGGUGUGGGCACCGACGAAGAGGCUAUUGCCGAAAUCUUGGGCACGCUCAGCAAUUUCGGAGUCCGCACAAUUUCCGCUGUCUACGAAAAACAAUACGGAAACUCGUUGGAAGACGAUUUGAAAUCCGAUACUUCUGGAUCUUUCCAGAGAUUGUUGGUGUCUUUGUGCUGUGCCAAUCGCGAUGAAGACGUGGAAGUCGAUCGUAGCGCCGCGGUUGCGGAUGCUCAGGCUCUUAUCGAUGCAGGCGAAGCUCAAUGGGGCACGGACGAGUCAACCUUCAAUUCGAUUUUGGCCACUCGUUCUUAUCCACAGCUUAGAGCCAUUUUUGAAGAGUACGAGAACCUCUCUGGCAAGGACAUCGUGGAGACCAUCAAGAGCGAAACUUCCGGCGCCCUGGAACACGGUUUCUUGACCAUUGUGAAAAGUGCCAAGAAGAAAAGCGACUACUAUGCCGACCAAUUGGAAGCCUCAAUGGCUGGCUUCGGCACUAGCGACCGUCAGCUGAUUAGGAUCAUCGUUGGCAGAUCCGAAAUCGAUUUGGGAGACAUAAAGCAGUCCUACGAGAACAUUUACGGUACUCCGUUGGCCGACAGAAUCGCCGGCGACACCUCUGGGGAUUACAAGCGUCUGUUAUUGGCUCUCGUGUGCUAAUAAAGCUUAGAAAUGCAUGAGAAAAGGCACUUCAAUUCUUGCUUUAUACCUGUACCGACUUUAAUUUCAUAGCGAUUGUGGUUCAGAUUACAAAAAUUUGCUAAUCACACUUGUGUCGCAAUAAUAUGCUUUUAAAAAGAAAGGCUCUUUCAUUCCACCGUCAUCGUGGACGCGCACAGAUUACUCAACUGACUAUAGUACUACUAUCUACUACAACAUCAACUGCAACUACUAAACUAUUACGUUUUUUUAGUACAUAUUUUUGUGUCACAAAAUGUUGAAAUUGUCUUUCUAUAUAAAUGUAAUGUAAUAAAUUUAAUUUAUUUUUUUAAUUAAUAUUAUGUCCACUGUUAAAGUUUUGCAUACAGCUAUUCAAAAUACGAUUUCUUCGCGCCACCGUAGAGAAAGAAUUUAUACAAUCAUAGAACACUUUAUUUUAUAUAAUAAAAUAUUAUACUAAUAUAUUAUAUAUUAUAUACUAUACAGUUAUAUUAUAUUGUUAGCUAUGCAUUAUUA